UUCAGGGCAAGAGCCUUUAAGGAAAGGGCAGUAGCAGGCACAAGAAGGACCCAGUGAAGGAGGGAUUGGAUCCAGUUCAUCUGAAUGCUGUAAUUGGUUACAUCCUCCAGCAAGUUCAGGACGACAAAUGUGCAGCUCAAAAGCAGCCUGUCCUCCAUGCUAAGCAGGGAGAUUAAGUAGCCUGGAAAGCAGGUGGUCCUGUAAAUACAGGGUGUUUUUUUUAGCUGCACCAAAUUUUUAAAAUUAGAAAAAUAUAUACCUUGGUCACGUUAGCUUUACCAUUCGAGUGUACGGAUUGGCGGCCUCUAGAUACAGAGCAAUUUAGUCACUUGAGUGUGUAAUUAGUGAAGUUAAGCUAAUUAACUUUCUAAUUAUCAACUAUAGGUGGCUACAGCAAAUGAGUACUUUGGGGCCCGUCAUCGACACUACCUAUCCCAACGAUGAAAUUUUGAAUAGCGGAGUUCAUGUGGGAGCUACACGAGCAAUUAGUUCCCUUUGGCAAGCUUCUUGAAACCGAAUUAGGCCGCAAAAAGAGCGUCUGUGUCGUCGAUGUCACCGCCCCCCUGCCUUUCGUAACAUCUCCGAGGUAAGCGCCAGUCCGGCCCCGCGAGCAGCUUGCAUUAUUUCCUUGCUAUCUGCGGCGUUCGCAGUCGACGCUACAGACUGAUAUGAUGCCGUGCCUGCAGUAUCUAAAAGCCCAAUUUAAGGAGCAUUGUUGGCGCUACAGCGCAACAUGAUGCCCAACAGAAUGACGAAGUAAAUUUGGUGGCCCACCGUCAUUGAAGCGCUGGGCCACCGCUGCAGACAGACAGGAAAUAAUGCAAGCUGCUCGUUGAGCUGGACCGGCGGAGACGUGACGAAAGGGGAGGGGGAGCUCCCACAUGAACUCCGCUAUUCAAAAUUUGACUGUUGGGUUAGGUAGUACUCAUUUGUACUCAGUACUCAUUUGCUGUAGCUACCUAUUGUUGAUAAUUAGAAAAUUAAUUAGUGUAACUUCGGUAAUUAUGCAGGUAAGUGCUGAAAUUGCUAUGUAUCUAGAGGCUGCCAAUCCGUACACUUGAAUGGUAAAGAUAACGUGACCAAGAUUCACAUCUUUCUAAUUUCAAAAAUUUGGUCCAACUAAAAAAAAAACACCCCGUAUGUGCUAUCUAGUCAUGUUUGCGAUUUCUAUGUCAGCACAUUCUUAAAUAAAUAUGAACCAACUCAACUA